CUUAGCUUGCUAAGGCCGAUGGCGACCGGCGCACGGGUGAGUAACACGUAUCCAACCUGCCGUCUACUCUUGGACAGCCUUCUGAAAGGAAGAUUAAUACAAGAUGGCAUCAUGAGUCCACAUGUUCACAUGAUUAAAGGUAUUCCGGUAGACGAUGGGGAUGCGUUCCAUUAGAUAGUAGGCGGGGUAACGGCCCACCUAGUCUUCGAUGGAUAGGGGUUCUGAGAGGAAGGUCCCCCACAUUGGAACUGAGACACGGUCCAAACUCCUACGGGAGGCAGCAGUGAGGAAUAUUGGUCAAUGGGCGAGAGCCCGAACCAGCCAAGUAGCGUGAAGGAUGACUGCCCUAUGGGUUGUAAACUUCUUUUAUAAAGGAAUAAAGUCGGGUAUGGAUACCCGUUUGCAUGUACUUUAUGAAUAAGGAUCGGCUAACUCCGUGCCAGCAGCCGCGGUAAUACGGAGGAUCCGAGCGUUAUCCGGAUUUAUUGGGUUUAAAGGGAGCGUAGAUGGAUGUUUAAGUCAGUUGUGAAAGUUUGCGGCUCAACCGUAAAAUUGCAGUUGAUACUGAAUAUCUUGAGUGCAGUUGAGGCAGGCGGAAUUCGUGGUGUAGCGGUGAAAUGCUUAGAUAUCACGAAGAACUCC
rnacentral:rRNA from 1 species